ensembl:rRNA 5S_rRNA 5S ribosomal RNA
GCCUGCAGCUAUACCACCCUGUGCUAUGAUCUUAUUAGAUCUCACAAAUCUAAAGAGGGCUGGGUUGAGUCAGACCUUGGAUGAAAACUUGCAAGAGAUACCUACAGCAGUGCAUAUU